rnacentral:lncRNA from 1 species
CCUCUGGAGAACAUGCAAUGUACUGUGUAGGUUACCAGCAUUGGCUGUGAAAUCAGAUUGCCAAGAUUCAAGAAGUGGCUCUGCCACUUCCAAGUUCUUGUGACCUUCUCAAGCCUUGGUUUUCUUAUCUAUAAAACUGUGAUAAUCAAUUUUGCGGCUAUGAUAAUCAAUUUUGUGAUUCAUUUGCACGGAGAAGAUAGUAGAAGCUAUGCUAGUGGAUAAGAUAACAAUGGAGAGUAUAGAAAGGAAAGAAAAGAGGGCCUAGGAUAGUGGUGUAGGGAAAUACUGCAUUUUAAUGGAUGAAAAGAGGGCUAGUUUAGGAUAAAUGGAAGGA